CGUCUGCGUUCUGCGGGGUUGGGUGUGUUCCGCCCCAGUCGCAGCCGCGGGACUCCCGCGCAGUGCACCUCGGGAAUCGUAGUUCUGAAGUGAACGCGCGGCUCUUCGCCAAGCGGGUGGCUCGCUGCUCUGAGGAGAUAAUCCGCAGAGGUCGCGGUGGAUGAUUUGAGUGUGGCCCGGUAUAUGUUCUUCGUCCACGGCUGGUGCUUUGGAUCAAAGGCCGGCGGGUCCUGCUUCCCUGAAGCCCUCACUGUUUCCUAUCUCCUGCUGCAGAGGCUGGCUGGAUUAGUGUGCAAAAUGAAGCAAUGAAAUGACUUCCCAUGAGCAUCCAUAAGAACAGGGUGCAGAAAUCCUUGGAGCCUUUGGUCUGAUGCAGCAGGAAUCCUCUUAUGUUCUUAUAAUCUGAUUCCAGACUCAUGGUUGUAUUGAAUUAGAUUCAUCCUCCAGAACAAGCACACUCUCUUCAAGAUGUGAGGAAGGCAACAUGUGAGCAAGAGAGAGAGGGAGGUGCUUCCAUUGCCUUCCAACUUAGGGCAGAAAAUCUGAGACGUGAGAGCAUGGUCGAGUAUUAAACCAGGUGAUUUGGCGUGGAAUGACCCCCAUAAGAAAUGUGUGGCAUGUGGACUAGCCCUAGAUGUGCACCAGAAUGGGUUGUGAAAUCAAGGGCCUUUCUAUUAUGACACCUCCUAUGUAUAGAAAGGGUCUGCUGGGUCUGCUCCCAGCUUCAUUGUCCUGUCUUCCAGUGCCUCUGCAUGGAGCGUGAAGACAGGCACGGAAAAGCAAAGGAAUGAAGCAAAGGAAUGCGCGUUCACCUGGGCCAACCAGUUACCUAUCAAUAUCCAUAGCUGCUCAGGCCCAUUUCACACGUUACACAGCAGCAAACCUGAACAUGGAGCUUGGUCAGUUUGGGAUGCCUGACAAGCUCAGCAUCCCUGCAGAAUUCGUAUGUUCUCAUGAGUUUUUCACAUUUAUAUGUUAAGAUUUCUAGCUGUGUGCAUAAAACAUUUCAGGUGUACACCUAAAAAAAAGUUAUAUGAAAAGUGGCCCUCUGCCUGUAGAACCAAUGAUCUAACUAGUGAUAGAUGUGCUCCUGAUGAAAUAACUGUGGUCUGAAAUGCAGGGGAGGGGGGGUGCCCCUUCCUCUCUCAGAAUGACACCCAUGCUUGAAAGAAGAUAGAGAGCCAUAGAAGGCAACUGUAAAACACACUGUCUCUUCCAUAGAAACAUAGGAAGUUGCCUUAUACUGAGAUGGACCAUUGGUCCAUCUAGUUCAGUGUUAUCUACGCUAUUAACUACAUCACGUGAGGAUCCUUUGGCCUUCCAGAUGCUGCUGAACUGCAACUCCCGUCAUCCAUUGGCCAUGCUUGUUGGGGCUGAUGGGAGCUGUUGUUCAGCAACACCUGGAGUUCUAAUGGAUCCCCACCCCUGGUACCCUGGACAACUGCUUUGCAAAUUUCAGAGAGGUGUGAAUGUCAAAGGAUGGCUGCAUUUCAGUUCUCUCGUUGUUUUGAAAAGUCCAAAUUAGGAACGUGUUCCAUUAAAUGCAAACUGAAUUGGAUAUCUCCCCCAUCUCUAGGUCAGUUCUACAGUGAGGGAUCUUGAAUCCUCAGCCAAGAAGCUCAUGUUUCUGGACUUGAAAUAAAUUAGGCAAAUCAAUUAAAAAUGAUGGAAGCUUGUUUAUUUUGCUUAAAUCUCAGUAAUAGGCAUAAUUCGAGAUUUGAGGUUUGUUUGUUUCACAUUUGUUUGUUUCUUUGUUGUAUUUAUAUUUCAUUUCUCUGGGCAGUUUGCAAAAGAAAAAGUAUCAGCGUUUUUUUUAGAUGCCACAAUGACUUUACAUAAUUAUAUUUUUAAUGUGAGAAAUCAGAGAUGUGUUGGAAGUUGUUUGGGGAAACCUUGAUGGUUUUAGAAGGAAAACAUUCCAGCAUUUGUAAUAUCCUAUUCCGUACGCAUCAAGGUGAGUUUGAAUGAAAAGUGCUCUGCUGCCAUCUUCUGGGAACUUGUGUUCAAAAGAGCCCAAAGUGUUGGCAGUUGGAUGAGAAAAGGUUUCUCCAUCUUCUCCUCCAGCUUCAAAACAGAGGCACUCUCAGGCGCAGAAUGAAUGAAAACCUGCAUUUAUCACUUACUGUUUUUCCCUGACCAGAUGAAAGCAUGUUCCUGAUGUGUUUUCCCCACAGGGUAGCUUUAGAACUGCCAUGUGUUGGCUACUGCAAGCUGUUAUUUCCUUCCCAUCUUUUUUUAAUGUAAAUCUUAACAAAUGCUACAAUCCCACCUGCCUACAUGUCAAUUUAAUCCCAGCUGAUCGAUAGAUGAGCAAACAUCACAAAGCAUUCAGGCUCUUUGCUGCUGCAGGAACAAA